GCCUCUGCAACAAAUAUUCCUAUUAUAACUACAGAAGCCAAAAUUGUCUAAGAAAAUAUAAGCAUUUGUACAACUAAGAAGAUACUCAGUAAGGCAAAUGCGCUUUGCUCAGAUAAAGUGUGAACUUCCGAGAUUUAAUUGGAGAACAAGGCAGCAAAUAAUAGUUCCGUAACCUAGUUAAGGAAGAUGAACCAAGAAUGUUAAAGUGGUGGUCACUUCAAUAAAGAAAAGGUGAUAUUGAAGAAGGAGCAAUUGCUCAUUUUUUGUGAUAUUGAAGACCAACUUUGCUGAUAAUUUGAUUAAGAGAAAUCACAUGAGAUUUUCCAUCCCAUUUUAAAGUUACAAAAGCAUGCUGGUUUUAUAAUUCCUAACCCAAGCAAACUGAUGUGAAGUAGUUACAUAUGCUUUGGUGUCAUUCCAUUGUUUUUCUGGCUUCUUCAACUUGAAGUUGUA
rnacentral:misc_RNA from 1 species